GAUGAACGCUGGCGGCGUGCCUAAUACAUGCAAGUCGAGCGAACAGACGAGGAGCUUGCUCCUCUGACGUUAGCGGCGGACGGGUGAGUAACACGUGGAUAACCUACCUAAGACUGGGAUAACUUCGGGAAGCCGGAGCUAAUACCGGAUAAUAUAUUGAACCGCAUGGUUCAAUAGUGAAAGACGGUUUUGCUGUCACUUAUAGAUGGAUCCGCGCCGCAUUAGCUAGUUGGUAAGGUAACGGCUUACCAAGGCAACGAUGCGUAGCCGACCUGAGAGGGUGAUCGGCCACACUGGAACUGAGACACGGUCCAGACUCCUACGGGAGGCAGCAGUAGGGAAUCUUCCGCAAUGGGCGAAAGCCUGACGGAGCAACGCCGCGUGAGUGAUGAAGGUCUUCGGAUCGUAAAACUCUGUUAUUAGGGAAGAACAAAUGUGUAAGUAACUAUGCACGUCUUGACGGUACCUAAUCAGAAAGCCACGGCUAACUACGUG
rnacentral:rRNA from 1 species